UACGUAGGGGGCAAGCGUUGUCCGGAAUCAUUGGGCGUAAAGAGCGCGUAGGCGGCCCUGUAAGUCCGCUGUGAAAGUCAAGGGCUCAACCCUUGAAUGCCGGUGGAUACUGCAGGGCUAGAGUCCGGAAGAGGCGAGUGGAAUUCCUGGUGUAGCGGUGAAAUGCGUAGAUAUCAAGAGGAACACCUGAGGCGAAGGCGGGUUGCUAGGCUGACACUGACGCUGAGUGCGCGAAAGCCAGGGGAGCAAACGGG
rnacentral:rRNA from 1 species